rnacentral:rRNA from 1 species
UACGUAGGUGGCAAGCGUUAUCCGGAUUUAUUGGGUGUAAAGGGCGUGUAGGCGGGAGCGCAAGUCAGAUGUGAAAACUCAGGGCUCAACCCUGAGCCUGCAUUUGAAACUGUGUUUCUUGAGUGCUGGAGAGGCAAUCGGAAUUCCGUGUGUAGCGAUGAAAUGCGUAGAUAUACGGAGGAACACCAGUGGCGAAGGCGGAUUGCUGGACAGUAACUGACGCUGAGGCGCGAAAGCGUGGGGAGCAAACAGG